AUGAGCAAGUUGCCUCUUUUUCCGGCUGGAACCGUGGAAGGUGUAGAAGACAAGAAGGUUCCUGCUGUGCCAGAAACCCUUAAGAAAAAGCAAAGGAAUUUCGCAGAGCUGAAGAUCAAGUACCUGAGAAAGACAUUUGACCAAAAGAUGCUUCAAAAGGCAAGGAGGAAGCUUAUCUAUGAAAAAGCAAAGCACUGUCUCAAGGAAUAUAGGCAGAUACACAGAACUGAAAUUCGAAUGGCAGGGAUGGCAAGAAAAGCUGGCAACUUCUGUGUACCUGCAAAACCCAAAUUGGCAUUUGUCUUCAGGAUCAGAGGUGUCAGUGGUGUGAGCCCAAAGGUCCAAAAGGUGUUACAGCUUCUUCGCCUUCAUCAAAUCUUCAUUGGAACCUUUGUGAAGCUCAACAGGCUUCAGUUAACAUGCUGAGGAUUGUAGAACCAUAUACUGCUUGGGGAUACCCAAACCUGAAGUCAAUAAUCUACAAGUGUGGUUAUGGCAAAAUCAAUAAGAAGCGAAUUGUGUUAACAGAUAACACUUUGAUUGCUCGAUCUCUUGGUAAAUACGGCAUCAUCUACAUGGAAGAUCUGAUUCAUGAGAUCUAUACUGUUGGAAAACACUUCAGAGAAGCAAAUAACUUCCUGUGGGCCUUCAAAUUAUCUUAUCCAUGAGGUGGAAUGGAGAAAAAGACCACCCAUUUUGUAGAAGGGAGAGAUGCUGGCAGCAGGGAGGACCAGAUCAACAGGCUUAUUAGAAGAAUGAACUAAGAUGUCUACCAUGAUUAUUUUUCUAAGUUGGUUGGUUAAUAAACAGUACCUGCUCUCAAAUU